UACGUAGGGGGCAAGCGUUGUCCGGAAUUAUUGGGCGUAAAGAGCUCGUAGGCGGUUUGUCGCGUCGAAUGUGAAAACCCGGGGCUCAACCCCGGGCCUGCAUUCGAUACGGGCAGACUAGAGUUCGGUAGGGGAGUCUGGAAUUCCUGGUGUAGCGGUGAAAUUCGUAGAUAUCGGGAGGAACACCAGUGGCGAAGGCGGCGAUCUGGGAAGAUACUGGACGCUGAGGUGCGAAAGCGUGGGGAGCAAACAGGGAGUUAGAA
rnacentral:rRNA from 1 species